GACGAACGCUGGCGGCGUGCCUAAUACAUGCAAGUAGAACGCUGAAGGAGGAGCUUGCUUCUCUGGAUGAGUUGCGAACGGGUGAGUAACGCGUAGGUAACCUGCCUGGUAGCGGGGGAUAACUAUUGGAAACGAUAGCUAAUACCGCAUAAUAGUAGAUGUCGCAUGACAUUUGCUUAAAAGGUGCAAUUGCAUCACUACCAGAUGGACCUGCGUUGUAUUAGCUAGUUGGUGAGGUAACGGCUCACCAAGGCAACGAUACAUAGCCGACCUGAGAGGGUGAUCGGCCACACUGGGACGGAGACACGGCCCAGACUCCUACGGGAGGCAGCAGGAGGGAAUCUUCGGCAAUGGACGGAAGUCUGACCGAGCAACGCCGCGGGAGUGAAGAAGGUUUUCGGAUCGUAAAGCUCUGUUGUAAGAGAAGAACGAGUGUGAGAGUGGAAAGUUCACACUGUGACGGUAUCUUACCAGAAAGGGACGGCUAACUACGUG
rnacentral:rRNA from 1 species